rnacentral:rRNA from 1 species
GUAGGGUGCAAGCGUUGUUCGGAAUUAUUGGGCGUAAAGCGCGUGUAGGCGGCUUGGCAAGUCGGGUGUGAAAUCCCUCAGCUUAACUGAGGAAGUGCGCCCGAAACUGCCGAGCUUGAGUACCGGAGAGGGUGGCGGAAUUCCCCAAGUAGAGGUGAAAUUCGUAGAUAUGGGGAGGAACACCGGUGGCGAAGGCGGCCACCUGGACGGAUACUGACGCUGAGACGCGAAAGCGUGGGGAGCAAACAGGAUUAGAUACCCUGGUAGUCCACGCCGUAAACGAUGAGAACUAGGUGUCGUGGGUGUUGACCCCCGCGGUGCCGUAGCUAACGCAUUAAGUUCUCCGCCUGGGAAGUACGGCCGCAAGGCUA